ensembl:lncRNA
GAAGUUCAAAGAGGAUUUUUGCUUUUACAAAAAAGGGUGAAAGCAAAUAUAGUGUUCAGUGUUUAUUUUGCAGGGAACAGUGAGCCCAACACGUGAAGCCCCUGCACCAGGAGCUACUCAGCGUCUCAAGCCACCAUAGCUUGGAACCAUGUGAGCAUCUGUGCUUUACUUGAUUUGUGUCUCUGUUAGCAAGAUGUGUCCUCAGAUAAUUGUUUCUUCACUUUAUGCCAUUUCAGCUCAGGAAAGUUUCAUAGAAACGCUCUCACCUUCAGUAGUGGAGGAAACCCGUAUUAAGUGGAAGGGUAAGAAGUCUUCUGUUUAAGAUGAGGAAAUACUUUUCACUUAAACAAUACUGACAUGAGUUUCCUCUUGAAACAGAGGUGUACAUUAACUGCUUAUUGAAAGCUUGACACAUUUCUCGGUUCCUGAUUAUAGAUAUUCCUUGAUUAAAAAUAAAUACACUGUAUCUUUAUAACAUCAGCUGUCUUUUGUUAUGAAAAAUUAUGUUUAUUACAGAAAAAUGGAGGAAUAGAGUAAAUUUAUAAAGAAGAAAAAGCACUUACUCCAUAGGUAAUCAGCCACUUAAAUUUAAGGAUGUUGUUUUUUUCCCUCCCAGUGAAAUUGGGAUCAUUUUCACGAUUGACAUUGUAACUUUUUCUUAACUCUGAGGUCACUGAGGACUGCCAUCGUUCAGAUGGAUUCUGCUAGGGGAGAAAAAAGUUCCAGGAAAAAUAUACAAAUAUUCCAAAAUUUUCCCACAUCUGUAUUUUCAUAUUCUUUAUAUAGUUUCUUUUCUUGACACUUGAGCCCCCUGCCCCCCACAUACACACACAGCCUACCAAGCCAUGACUUGACAGUUUUGGUUGAAUACAAUUCCAGUUUCAAAACAAAACACCUCUGAAGAAAUGGACACAGCCAAAUAAAGAAUCAAGAUAGUCUAGAUGAGAGUCUUCAAACUUCAGAAUCAUCUGACAAGCUGCUAAAAUGCAGAUUUUUGCACCCUACCCCAAGCAUGCCUAUUUAACAAUAGAGCACUGGCCCCAAGAAUAAAACGUCUAGGAAUACUAUUCCCCAGCACAGGUCAGGUGCCCAUUACUGGGCUUGUUGACUAUGGCAGGUGAUUGAGGUUAAGUAAAAAACAUGUAUCUCUUGUGAGAAACCAUAUGGAUAGAAUGAGGGAAGACCAUUUUCCCUAAAAGUGGUGCUGUCUCCAAUAGGUAGGCCUUGUCUUUAGUAAACAAAACAAUAGUUACACCCCCAAAAUGUCUCAUUGUGUACCAUAUAGAAUGGUUGUUUCAUGUCAGUGGUCAUGUUUCCUCAACUACAUUUGUGGUGAGAGGGCAGGUUCUGAUAGUAUUGGAUCCCCUGGGUCAUGUUCAUGCAGCCCAGUAUCAUUCCUGACCUUGAAUUCCACGAAACACCUCGUAUCCUUAUUAUAAAUUCCCCUUAAUACACAGAUUGAUUUAAGCUAAGGUUCUGUCAUCUGCCACCUGAAGGAAGAGUUAAUGUGUUUUUUAAAUUGGCACAUAAAAUAUGUACAGAAAAGCGUACAAAACAAAUGUUCAGCUGAGUGAAUUACUAAGUUACUAUAUGUAUAACCACCAUGCAGGCAAGAGUUAGACUCUUAAGAGCACCCAAAAAGCUCUCCUAAUGCCAUCUGCCAAUUACUACUUCCUUCCUCUUCAAAGAUAACAGGUAUCCUGACUUCCAACAUUAUUAUUUAAGUUUUGCCUAUUUUUGAACUUUAUCUAAAUGUGACCAGAGAAGCUGAAGCUCCAGUACUUUGGCCACCUGAUGCAAAGAGCCGACUCAUUGGAAAAGACCCUGAUGCUGGGUAAGAUUGAGGGCAGUAGAAGAAGGGGGCAACAGAGGAUGAGAUGGUUGGAUGGCAUCACUGACUCAAUGGACAUGAGUUUGAACAAACUCUGAGAAAUAGUGAAGGACAGGGAAGCCUGGUGUGCUGUAGUCCAUGGAGUCACAAAGCCUCAGACACAAUUUAGCGACUGAACAACAAACCAUACUCUGUAAUUUUUUCUGCCUGUCAUUUUGAUUAAAGGCUAAAAAUAGUAUUUCUCUGACUCAAGGACUAAACAGCAAAGCUAAUGUGAAAUUCACCCAUGUUGAUAUUACUGUAGGUCAUUGUAAUUGUCAUAUGCCAUUGUAUAUAUCACAAUUUGUCCAU